rnacentral:rRNA from 1 species
UACGUAGGGUGCAAGCGUUGUCCGGAAUUAUUGGGCGUAAAGAGCUCGUAGGCGGUUUGUCGCGUCUGCUGUGAAAACUCGGGGCUUAACCCCGGGCCUGCAGUGGGUACGGGGCAGACUAGAGUGCGGUAGGGGAGACUGGAAUUCCGGGUGUAGCGGUGGAAUGCGUAGAGAUCCGGAAGAACACCAGUGGCGAAGGCGGCCCGCUGGGCAGUGGCUGACGCUGAGGCGCGACAGCGUGGGGAGCAAACAGG